CAGAGUUCAUGCCCUUCGGGGUAGACCUCCCACCCUUUGUAUACCUUGCCUUUUGUUGCUUUGGCGGGCCGCCACUCGGCCGUCGGCUUCGGCCGGCGCGCGCCCGCCAGAGACCCCAAACCCUGUAUUACAGUGUCGUCCGAGUACUAUAUAAUAGUUA
rnacentral:misc_RNA from 1 species